ACGCCAGACUCCUACGGGAGGCAGCAGUGGGGGAUAUUGCACAAUGGGGGGAACCCUGAUGCAGCGACGCCGCGUGGGUGAAGAAGUAUUUCGGUAUGUAAAGCCCUAUCGGCAGGGAAGAAAUUGGACGGUACCUGACUAAGAAGCCCCAGCUAACUACGUGCCAGCAGCCGCGGUAAUACGUAGGGGGCAAGCGUUAUCCGGAUUCACUGGGCGUAAGGGGAGCGCAGGCGGCACGGCAAGUCCGGUGUGAAAGCCCGGGGCCCAACCCCGGGACUGCACUGGAAACUGCCGGGCUGGAGUGUCGGAGGGGCAGGCGGAAUUCCUAGUGUAGCGGUGAAAUGCGUAGAUAUUAGGAGGAACACCGGUGGCGAAGGCGGCCUACUGGACGGUGACUGACGCUGAGGCUCGAAAGCGUGGGGAGCAAACAGGAUUAGAUACCCUGGUAUA
rnacentral:rRNA from 1 species